CCUACGGGAGGCAGCAGUGGGGAAUUUUGGACAAUGGGCGCAAGCCUGAUCCAGCAAUGCCGCGUGCAGGAUGAAGGCCUUCGGGUUGUAAACUGCUUUUGUACGGAGCGAAACGGUCUGCUUUAAUACAGUGGGCUAAUGACGGUACCGUAAGAAUAAGCACCGGCUAACUACGUGCCAGCAGCCGCGGUAAUACGUAGGGUGCAAGCGUUAAUCGGAAUUACUGGGCGUAAAGCGUGCGCAGGCGGUUAUAUAAGACAGAUGUGAAAUCCCCGGGCUCAACCUGGGACCUGCAUUUGUGACUGUAUAGCUAGAGUACGGUAGAGGGGGAUGGAAUUCCGCGUGUAGCAGUGAAAUGCGUAGAUAUGCGGAGGAACACCGAUGGCGAAGGCAAUCCCCUGGACCUGUACUGACGCUCAUGCACGAAAGCGUGGGGAGCAAACAGGAUUAGAUACCCUGGUAGUCCACGCCCUAAACGAUGUCAACUGGUUGUUGGGUCUUCACUGACUCAGUAACGAAGCUAACGCGUGAAGUUGACCGCCUGGGGAGUACGGCCGCAAGGUUGAAACUCAAAGAGUAGUACGCGNGAGAGAGCGACGACGACGACGAGGAGGAGGNG
rnacentral:rRNA from 1 species